UACGUAGGUGGCAAGCGUUGUCCGGAUUUACUGGGCGUAAAGAGCGCGCAGGCGGUCGUUCAAGUCGCGUGUGAAAGCCCCCGGCUCAACUGAGGAUCGUCGAUCGAUACUGCCGUUCUUGAGGAUUGCAGAGGAGACUGGAAUUCCCGGUGUAGCGGUGAAAUGUGUAGAGAUCGGGAGGAACACCGGUGGCGAAGGCGGGUCUCUGGGCAAUUCCUGACGCUGAGGCGCGAAAGCGUGGGGAGCAAACGGG
rnacentral:rRNA from 1 species